ensembl:lncRNA
GCCUCAUUGCAGGGGGGGAUGGAAAGUUGAAAGUAAAGAAAAAAUAAUAGAAAUCAUAUAAAAAAAAAAAUGUUUUGUGCUGGCGAAACACCUCUGUUGCUCAAACCCUAUUUCUUUUUGCUGGAGAAGUUCUAUGGGUGCUGACAGCUGACGGGCAUUUGUGCGGCAUUAAUGGCUCGGGAAGGUAACGCUCAUAUUUUGGCUCUUUGCCUUGGAAGGGAACCGAAGCAACUUUUUGUUGACACCCCACUGUGUUACACCUUCAGGGGUUUUCUCCUCUCUGCCUCGUGGUGGUUGCACCCUGUGUGCUGCUGCAGGACAAAUACAGCACGGGUACAGUCAGACACUGCCCCACGAGCAGCUCCUGAGCAAUCAGCUCUGCGGGGUUCAGGAGGUCCUUAUUUUCAGGGGGGAAGUGCUUUAAUCAAGAUUAAUUUUUUCCAGUUUUCAGUAAUCGGAGCUCUUCCUGAGUUUUCCUCAGCUCUCCUGUAGAAUGGAAUUAUCAGAUUUCCAUGGCAAUUAAAGCAGAAAGCUGCAGGCACGCGGAUUGCUCCGUACGAUGGCUGAUGGGGAACAAGUGGAUAGAGGCUGCGAGAAGGAAAGAGGAUUUUCACGGCUGCUGCAGGGCCAGCCGAGCCUUGCAACGAGCUGCAAGCUCCUGCAGCACUUCUUGCCUUUCCCUCGGUGCAAAACACCCAGCGUGCAAUGAUGGAGAGAGCAAAAGGACUGGACUUUGGUGCUGGUUGGUUCUGAAUCCAGCAGAUGCUCGCUGGUGGGUGCAUGGGUGCUGCACUAUGGGAUGAUAGAGGGGUGAUUCUGUUCUGUGCUCUGCCCUUCCUGGGUCCCAUUGCUACUUGCAAAAUCAGGAUCAGUCCCUGCAAAGCCUGCCAGUGGCUCAGGAGCUGCAGGAAACUCACCAACCAUCCACCCAUCCCACCAUACCCACAGUGCUGUGUCCCUAUGUGCCACACCUGCACCAUGCAGCAUGUGAGUCAUGGCUGCUCUUCCACUUCAACAAAGGAAGAGCCAACCAAGCCAAGGUAACACCCACGGUGAUGAGGUGAAGGGCUUAAUUACUCACUGGAUUUCACUGCCACACCAUUUCUGAGGCUGACUGCUAUGAUAUAUGUGAGGAACAUCAGACAUUGAUCACAAAAUACAAAGGGAGGAGGGAAAAGAAGUCUCCCUGUGGUUUGGAUCCUGAGCCCAGGGUUGCUCUCCACUAUGAAAGCAUGAGUUUUCAACUAGAAAAUGGCACUUCUGGCUGGGAUGCUAUUUUCUGGGCUCAGCCAGAGCCAGAAGGGGCAAUGCCACCCAACAGACCCUUGUCCCGUUGCUCUCAGGUGUUGACCCAUGUCUCCAUUCUUCAUUUGUCCCCAUCCUUGCUGAAGGAAAGCACGUCCCACGGAGGGCACUGGGCUUCUCCCCCAUGCUGCAGCCCAGCCCCCACUCCACAGCCAUAUGCAGCAUAUCACCUUCUCUUCGGGGUUGGGUUACCCUGCAGUAAUUCACUUACAGUUCACAAAUGAUAAAUCCUUGCACAGUUGGCUGAGAAAUCUGGGCUAACAAGGAAUGGAAGUGAAUUAUUAAAUCCAAAUGGCGCCAUGGCCUGUCCACUCUACUCCUCAGCCACAUUAACAACACCGUGGGGCAUGAUGACCUGCUGUGUGGCAAUAGCUGCUCCCAGGUAUGCCUGGGAUAGGGCUGUAGCUCCGGGUAGGGUGCACAGAGGUAUCCACCUCUGAAUUGCACAGCUGGAGAGAAAGAUGUGAGCUGUGUCCCAGCGUGGGUGUCCUCACAGCCCGUGUCAUACCCGAGUGAGCUGCUUCCAGCAGUGACUUAAAUGCAAACAGCAGAAAGCCACUAAAUCCUGACAUUUGCCCCUUCCCAUCAGGCAUUGGCACUGGCUGAUCCCUUUGUGCUUUCCAGAAAUAGCUGGGGCUCCGUGUGCCUUUCAGCCUUGGCUUUGGGGAGAGGUGAGGACUACAGAGGGAAAUCCCAGCAGCGGGACUGGCCCUGAUCUGCUGUGAAGUGAGUUCAUCUGACCUGCUCACCCCCGUGUGCCCUGCCCUGGUUUUAUUCGUGUAUGUAUUCAUUUCAUAGCAUCACAGCAUCCCAGCAUCAUAGAAUGGUUGGGUUGGAAGGGAUCCCAAAGCCCUCCCAGCCCCAAGCCUUGCUGUGGGCUGGUUGCCCCCUAGCAGAUCAGGUUGCCCAGGGCCCCCUCAGCCUGGCCUUGGGCACAUCCAGGGAUGUAUCCUAAAUCAAUGGGACAUCCCAUCAGCCAAUGGGCCAUCCAGUCAGCGGGGCUUCCAAUCAAUGGGACUUCUUCCUUCAAAAGGACCGCAGAACAUAUGGGAAGUCAUGGGGUUUUUCCUAAGGAUGAAGUUUAUAGAAGUGACUAUUAUGGCAUUGUUUUCAAGCUUAUUAGCUGUGUCAUACUGUUAUUGCCUCCAGUCAUUUUUGGUAGAAAACAAAUAAACAGCGAGUAUUUGUCAAUCUCAGUAAUAAACUAUAGUGGCAGCAAGCUUAAUCUGGUGUUAAUUAGGCUUGUGGAAAACUAAAUCAAGCACCAGAAACCACAGAUUAUUUUAGGCUUCCUCUAGCAUAAACACGAAGGCUUGAGGAUCCAUAACGUAUUAUUUUUGUUGACAGUUCCCCACUUUUCCCCCAAUUUAUUUCAUGUAUCCGAUAGGCUGCUCCUUGAUUGCUUUUAGUUCUGUCUUCUUUUGGCCUCAGCGUGGCAGUUUGUUAAUCCUUCCUAUUUUUGUGUAUUUAAGCAGGAUUACAGACUUCAAAUACGCUGUAAAAGGAACCCGUAUACAACCCUUCAAAAUCACUUAAGUGGGCCAAUGACAGAAGUACCAGCCCUGCAAGUACAUACAGAGCACUGCGGAAAUCAUCCCCGGUGUUUAUUUAUGAGCCACUUUUAAUUAUUCAGCGGGAAUGAAUGAAAGAGGUGGAAAAUGGGAAGCGACAGAGGGCUUUGCAUUGAGUUACAGCUCGUGGAGAGCAAAGGGAGAGAUCACGGCGCUUUCAAGUCGCGAUGGUUGGAGGGUAUAAUUACACCCUGCUGCUUUAUGGGCCAAACCUCAGAGAAUUCAAUGGCAAACUGUGUUUCAGAGAGCGUGAGGAGCCCUCAGAAGGCUUCACACAGCACUGAGGAAGAGCAGAAUGCUUCACAUAGGCAGCAGCAGGCAUGGCAGAGCCCUGGGCUCAGCAAGGUCACCUGUCUGAAGGGGAGCUGCACGGACAGCAGUGCGAGUUCUGCUUGGCACGUCUGCAGGGAGCAGAUAUGGAGAAGGAGAAGUGCUGCGAUGCCACGUGGUUAGCUGAAAAGUGUUUUCUCUGCAGCUCCCACAGGAAAGGCCCAUGACUGAGAAAGAACAUGGUGUUCGUUCAUUGGGACAAGCUGAUCUUCAAGCUGAUUUGUGUUAAUUUGGAAAGUGAGAUCUUUUUUUUGUUGUUGUUGUUCCCCCUUUCUUUUUCCAGGAAAAAUGGAGCUGUCUGGUUUUGAUCACUUGGUGUGCUCAGCACCAAAGCCCUCAGAGUAAAUAUCUCCUAUGAAGGACAUUAAGGACCAACUCAUGGGGAGCAGCAGCAGGAAAACACUGCCAUAAACCCAAUACACAUCACGGUGCAUUCGUUUGUUACUUGGCACUGUAGCCGGGGCAGGGAAAACAUAGGAAGGCAUGGAGCAGAAUGGUGCCUCGGGGUGAUGAGUACAGCUGGGGCAGUGUGAUUAGCCCCAAGUGGCAGAGUCCUCCAUGCGCCCUGCAAGGCAGCUGAUGGCUCUGUGCUCCCUUUCCUGCUGGCUAUGGGAGGAAGGAGGGGAUGACCGGGCACGGUGCAAGCCAGCCUUGCUUUCCAUUCGAAUCCUAGAACCGUAGCCAAAGAAAACAAAGAAAUAGAAAAAGAAAGACGACGCACGGCAGCGUGCUGCUGCUGGAGGAAGGCCGAUAAGGCGGCAGCUGCUGCUCUUCCUCUGGGCUGCCCAGCAGAAAGCUGAAGGCAGCGCCGCCCGGCUCCUCACCCCAGCGCCGGGGAACGGCUUUAAGGAGCCGUGAUGCUCAGCGGGCUGAUAGGCAGAGCGGACGGCAGACCUUCCAGCUUCCUUCUGCCUUCCGAGCACACUCUGCCCAUUGGGCCCCGCUGUAGUGUCACCUCGGGGAUCUCUGUGGUGUUAAAGCGAACUUCUGCACAAGAGCGAGCAACUCCCGUUUGCACCCCCGCCGGUAUUUCUUCCCCAGAAGUGAACUUGCUGCUCUUCGCCGCGAGAUGGAGCCUUCAGAUCGAGCCCUUUCCCUUAGGGUUGGUGGUUGUCUAAAGCAAUUAAGCCUCAUUUAGAGAUCGCACGUGUUUAGUUUUCUCAGAUUACUAUCUGUGGGUCUUUAUUAUUUUUUUUUGUUAAUGAAUCAUAUUUUUCAUCAUCUCUCUCUCUUUUAUCUGAUACGAGGAAACUGCAAAGGCUGCCAGAAUGGGUGCUGCUCCAGCCCAGCUCUGCAGAGGAGGACAGUGAACAAUGCAGCUCUUCUUCCUGGAGAAGCAUCACUCACAGCAUCACAGAAUGGUUGGGUUGGAAGGAACCUCAAGGACCACGAAGCUCCAACACUCCUGCUGCAGGCAGGGCCACCAACCUCCACACUCCAUACCAGCCCAGGCUGCCCAGGGCCCCAUCCAACCUGGCCUUGAACACCUGCAGGGAUGGAUGGGGCAUCCACAGCCCCUCUGGCAGCUGUUCCAGCACCUCACCACUCUCAUAGUAAAGAACUUCCCCUCUGACAUCCAACCUAAAUCUUCCCUCCUUCAACGUUAAACCGUUUCCCCUUGUCCUGCUCGAUGCAUUGCUCGAUGCCACACCACAGGGACAAAGCAGCUGCAGAAAGUGUGUGUUGUGCAAAAGCUGGGGCACGAGUGGGGGCUAAAAGGGACACCUGGAUGGCAGCAUGCUGUCCUUCUCUCUGUUCACCUUCUAGCUCAAUUCUACUUCUGAAAUCUGCCCCCAUUCCAUAUCCUACUGUUCUUCCUGAAGGGCAACGGAAAAGGAUGGCUCUGCUCUUUGGCACCAGCAGAGCUGCUCCUGCCCUGCCUGCUGUGCACCCAUCUGCCACGCUCCUCCCCGGCCUCUGCCCACAGCCACGUCCCCAAAUACCCCGAGAUCUCACUUCCCUUUGGUUUCACUGCCUUUCAGCCCCGAGGGACCAAAUGUUUUGUUUUGCUCUGUGCGUUUCCACGUUCAUCUUUCAUCUUCUGUUUGAAGCUAUUGUGAAGAAGCUGCGAAAAGCAAUGUGGCCCUGGUGCUCCUCUGAUGGCACUCGGGCUCUGGAGAGGUGUCUGAAAGCUGACAGCAGAGCUCUGUGCUGCUGGGAGGAACCAACUUCUGCGUUUGGGCACCCCACUCUGUGGGGAUUGGGGCCAGGACGGGUUGGAGCAGAACCCCAAAGUCUGAAUGCAAUUCAGUGUUUGCCAGAAGGCAGGGACUGAUAAGGCCUGCUGGGCUCUCAGUGCACCUCUUUAGGCACAUAGUGACAAGGAAAAGGUUCAGCUCAGCGAGGAGCAGGCAGUGGCCACUGCUCUGCUGCCUCUGCCCUGUGUGGGCAGCCCUGCCCCGUGAAGCCCUUCCCUUCCCAGACUUAAAACCAACGCCCUCCUGAGUGCCUUCCUGUACCAGCUCCUUUCUGCUCUCUCUCUCUCUCUAUUUUCUGGGGUCACAGCAAAGAGCAGCACUGGGGCAGCACCCAUGGGACCAUAAUGUGUUUGUAGCACACGGACAGACACACGCAGAGCAUUGCUGCUGAGUUCACUGCAGGUCCUCUGGUGCUGCUGUCAAACCUUCAUUUUCAGGUGUUGGAAAUCAUUUGUUUCCCUUCAUCUGUUUUCUGUCCGCAGAUGGUGCUUCCUCUGUAGGUGAUGGACUCGAGGUGACAGUGAUGGCUCAGUGCUUCCUCAUAUAAGCAGAGCUCCAGAACCACCCUCAGCACAGUGCUGCGCAAUGGCUGCAAUGCUUCGCAGAGGAUCAGUGUGUGUAUGUAAAUGGCAGAAUGUUCUCAAGCAGCACUGGAUUUUGCAUUUUAGCAAGGAUUUCCUUCCCAACUCCUCCUUCCUCAGUGCUGCUCAGUACCUCUUUCCCACUCCUGCCCCUUGUUCUUCCCUGCCCAGCUCUUUGCCCUGCAUGGCACGUUCCAGCCCCUCCUUUCUUGCUGAUCUCUGUGAUUAAAAGGUGGUGAGCAACACGGUUAUGAAAGCAAUGAUCUGUGCUGUAUCUUCAGAGGAAUGUCCACCUGCACUGUCUGCAGGAUGGAAACCAGCAGGGAGGCUGCUCCUUACCCUUCUGGCGCAAUGAUUGAACAGAUACUGCCCUCAGUUAAUAACAAUUCCCAAUAACUCUUGAAAUGAAGCAGACACAGCUCUGCUAAUUAAGGUGAAAAAGCAGCUCAUCCAAAUAACUUUCCUCAGAAAGCACGUCCAAUGACACUUCUAUCUGUUACGCUGUGUGUAGUUAUUAUCCCCAGUAGGUUAUACAGGAUGCAAGUGGGAGAAUUUCUGAUGCUCUCAUUAAUUUUGGUGGCAACUUUCUGUACUGGGAAUCAUCAUUCACCUCCACCCAUUGGAAGCAGUUGAAUUUCAGGAAGGUGGCAGUGCACACAUGGCACAGGGUUAAAUUUGGGUUAAAGACAGCAUCAUCUCCAGGCCUCUGGCAAAUGAGGCGGAGUAAGCAGGACACAGCAGGGGAGAUCAGGUCCUUCACAAAUGGGAAUAUUCACUUGGGAAGAAGUAGGAGAAAAUAACCUAGAAAUAAGGUCACUGGUCUCCAGACAGCCCCAUGGGAAAGCCAAGUAGUGCUGAGAGUAAUUUUCCUGCUUAGUGUGGCAGGCGUGUGGGCACACAUCAUAGGGAAGUGAGAGCAAUACAGGCUUUGGACAAUACUAGAAACCCCAAGAGACCACGAAGAGCCCUUAACCCUUUGGGUAAACGGUCCCAUGUGAACACCCAGCACAUUAACUUAUUGUUGCACGAGGCUGGGAAAUGGUUUGGAUCUUAGUUUAUGUGAGCAUUACCAAAGAAUAAAACAUUGCAACAUAUCUGUCAGGAACUGUAUUUCUCUGUGCUACAAUCCUUGAAGAAGAGGAAGUAAACACACUGCUGGCUCUGCACGACUCUUCCUGUAGGGCAACUGCAUUGUCAUCCCCAGGAAAUGCAACACCAAGCCCUGAAAUGAUCUGCACUGUAAAGGGCUGCUACAAUUCUGAGAGCUGUUAAAUUGCAGAGGAACAGAGCUGUGUUUGAUUGGGCAGAACGGUCAGGUUCCUGGGAACCCUUCAUCCUCAGCUGUAUGGUGGAAGAAGAGUGGGGAGUCAGAAACAGGGCAUGGGGAACGUGGCCUCCUCCAUAUCACUGCAGCCGGGUGAGAUGAGGUUAUGGAGGAAAAGGCCAUGGUGUCACGGAGCAGAGCCACAGUUCCCCCCUGUCCCAAAGCUGUUCCCACCACUCCCCAGGGCUCUGCCUGAGCUUGAAUCUCAACACUGGUUGGGGUGUGAAUGUCCCAGUCAGACCAUAGGGAACUGUGGCUUUGUCGGUUUGUAGGUUUGGGUCUGUUGGUUGGUUUGGGUUUAUUUGUGGUGGCGUUGUCACUGUUUUGCAUUACUGAGUGCAUGAACCAGAAACUCAGAGUGUUUUACUCAGUCACCUGGGGAUUACAGCAGAUUCCAGGCUGACCAUGAGCCAAUAGCAUGCUUUUGUCUCAGACAGAGAAAACCACACGUUGGCUUACAGUAGGAUGAGGGAAACCAUUACCGCCUUCUACUCUGUGAGGCCUUUCAUUCAGCUUUGCUGCAGCUGCUGCUGGGCCAAGGACAUCAAGACACCACGUGUGGGGCCAGGAAGAAGAAAUGUGUGCAAUGGACACCUACUGUGGCUUGGGAAACCCAACUGAACAUUAGGAAUAUAAAGAUCAGUAGGGAGGUUUGGCGGUGGGUUGAGUAGUAUGGUUAGGUGGAGGUUGCAUGGUCUUGAAGGUCUCUUCCAACCUGAGCAAUUUGAUGAUCCGAUGAUAAGGCGGUGUAGUACUGGAACAGGUCACUGAGGCCAGUUGGAGACUCCCCAUCCUUAGGGAUUUUCAAGACUCAGCUGCACAAAACCCCACUGAACACUGAUGGAAGCUCUUCCUUGGGUGGGAGGUUGGACGAGACGCCCAACAGAAUUCCUCUCCACCAAACAUUUCCAUAUUUCUAUGACCUUAAAUUCAGGCAAAUGCACGUGCCCUUAGCACAAGUGUGUAAGAUUUCGAUGUAUUUCUAACUGCUUUCAGAUCCAGGGAGUUUCACACGAAAGUGCAACAGAAAAAAGUGUGCAGCUUUAAAGCAUUUCUUAAUCCCACCCCUUUAGAAUCUGAGUGCUGUUUACUCUGCUGUCUGCUGGAGAUCCAACACGUUCAAAAAUAGCAUGGCAUGGGGUCCCAUCAAAGCCUUCUAACAUCACCAGGUGUCUCCUCAGCAUGAAAACAAAUUCUUUGAAGAGAUUGCUUGGAAGAGGAAAAUAAAGUACCGCAAGUGAGCUCCUGUGCUGUGAUGUGGUAUCGGAUGUACAGAAAACAUCUGCAGUAAAACUCGUCUGCAAAAGUGAGGCAGGCAGAUUUCCCCUCUGUGUACAUGAAGAG